GGUGGCUCAGUGGUAGAGUACUUGCCUUGCAUGCAUGAAGCCCUGGGUUUGAUUCCUCAGCACCA
rfam:Dipodomys ordii contig_10852, whole genome shotgun sequence.